UACGGAGGGGGCUAGCGUUGUUCGGAAUUACUGGGCGUAAAGCGCACGUAGGCGGAUUGGAAAGUUGGGGGUGAAAUCCCAGGGCUCAACCCUGGAACUGCCUUCAAAACUCCCAGAGUCUGGAGGUCGAGAGAGGUGAGUGGAAUUCCGAGUGUAGAGGUGAAAUUCGUAGAUAUUCGGAGGAACACCAGUGGCGAAGGCGGCUCACUGGCUCGAUACUGACGCUGAGGAGCGAAAGCGUGGGGAGCAAACAGG
rnacentral:rRNA from 1 species